rnacentral:rRNA from 1 species
AUUGAACGCUGGCGGCAUGCCUUACACAUGCAAGUCGAACGGCAGCACGGGGCAACCUGGCGGCGAGUGGCGAACGGGUGAGUAAUGCAUCGGAACGUACCUUUCAGUGGGGGAUAACGCAGCGAAAGUUACGCUAAUACCGCAUAUUCUGUGAGCAGGAAAGCAGGGGAUCGCAAGACCUUGCGCUGAUUGAGCGGCCGAUGUCAGAUUAGCUAGUUGGUGAGGUAAAGGCUCACCAAGGCGACGAUCUGUAGCGGGUCUGAGAGGAUGAUCCGCCACACUGGAACUGAGACACGGUCCAGACUCCUACGGGAGGCAGCAGUGGGGAAUUUUGGACAAUGGGGGCAACCCUGAUCCAGCCAUGCCGCGUGAGUGAAGAAGGCCUUCGGGUUGUAAAGCUCUUUCGGCCGGGAAGAAAUCGCACGGGCUAAUACCCUGUGUGGAUGACGGUACCGGAAUAAGAAGCACCGGCUAACUACGUGCCAGCCGCCGCAGUAAUAC